GACGAACGCUGGCGGCGUGCUUAACACAUGCAAGUCGAACGGAAAGGCCUUUUCGGAGGUACUCGAGUGGCGAACGGGUGAGUAACACGUGGGUGAUCUGCCCUGCACUCUGGGAUAAGCCUGGGAAACUGGGUCUAAUACCGGAUAGGACCGCACUUUAGUGUGUGUGGUGGAAAGUUUUUUCGGUGUAGGAUGAGCCCGCGGCCUAUCAGCUUGUUGGUGGGGUAAUGGCCUACCAAGGCGGCGACGGGUAGCCGGACUGAGAGGUUGGUCGGCCACAUUGGGACUGGGAUACGGCCCAGACUCCUACGGGAGGCAGCAGUGGGGAAUAUUGCACAAUGGGCGCAAGCCUGAUGCAGCGACGCCGCGUGGGGGAUGACGGCCUUCGGGUUGGAAACUCCUUUCGCCAGGGACGAAGCGUUUUGUGACGGUACCUGGAGAAGAAGCACCGGCUAACUACGUG
rnacentral:rRNA from 1 species